CAAAUACCAGCCACAGCCUAUCGUCUGCAGAUACUAUUCCAGAUGUAAGGAGCAGUACACCAGAUACAGCUGUUGGAAGAAGCUCUGCAGAUGUUGGACGUCUCUUCAGAGCCAUGGUGACCGAAUCAGCACCACUUUUCGAUGAUAUCGCUGAGGAGGAUGAUUC